GACGAACGCUGGCGGCAGGCCUAACACAUGCAAGUCGAGCGGAGCGGCGGACGGGUGAGUAAUUCCUAGGAAUCUGCCUGGUCGUGGGUGAUCACGUCCGGAAACGGUCGCUAAUACCGCAUACUCUCCGCUGCGCCUAGGUCGGAUUAGCGAGUUGGUGGGGUAAAGGUCUAACAAGGCGACGAUCCGUAACUGGUCUGAUAGGAUGAUCAGUAACACGGGAACGGAGACACGGUCCAGACUCCUACGGGAGGCAGCAGGGUGGAAUAUGGGAAAAGGGGCGAAAGCCUGAUCCAGCCAGGCCGCGUGUGUGAAGAAGGUCUUCGGAUUGUAAAGCACUUGAAGUUGGGAGGCGUUACCAACAGAAGAAGCACCGGCUAACUUCGUGCCAGCAGCCGCGGUAAUAC
rnacentral:rRNA from 1 species